GACGAACGCUGGCGGCGUGCUUAACACAUGCAAGUCGAACGGAAAGGCCCUGCUUUUGUGGGGUGCUCGAUUGGCGAACGGGUGAGUAACACGUGAGUAACCUGCCCUUGACUUUGGGAUAACUUCAGGAAACUGGGGCGAAUACCGGAUAGGAGCUCCUGCUGCAUGGUGGGGGUUGGAAAGUUUCGGCGGUUGUGGCUGGACUGGCGGGUUAUCAGCUGGUUGGUGAGGUAGUGGCUUACCAAGGGUUUGACGGGUAGCCGGCCUGGGAGGGUGACCGGCGACCUGGGGACUGAGAGACGGCGCAGACUCCUACGGGAGGCAGCAGGGGGGAAUCUUGCGCAAUGGGCGGAAGCCUGAGGCAGCAACGUCGCGAGCGGGAUGCCGGCCUUCGGGUGGUAAACCGCUUUCGCAUGUGACGAAGAGUGAGUGACGGUAAUGGGUAAAGAAGCACCGGCUAACUACGUG
rnacentral:rRNA from 1 species